CGGUCUGGGAAGGUCUCAGCCGACCAAAUGUGAACAACCAGCUUUAACUGCGAAUGGUCAUUCUGAAGCUACGUCCAAAGAACAUCUACAAGAUAAAUCCAUAGCAGCGAUUAGGGAAUAUUACAGGUAUUAUCUCAUUCUUUAUUCCUUUUUCUAUCCCAUAUUGUUUCAAGUUCUUGAUCCAAUUGGCAUGGAUAAAGUUAGUGUUGUGAGCUAAUCUGCAAAUUAGAAACACAUGAAUUGGAAUAUAUCGUUUAUGAUUUUGUGCUAUAGUGGAUUUUGUAUGUAUAUAUAUCGUUCACGAUCUCUCCACAUUUUUAAGUAUGUGGAGGUCUCACCAGUUAAUAAGUUAAGCAAUUUCAAAUAUAUGUACUAUUGUUACUUGAUCUUUUCUGGUUGUUCGUUUUAAAAAGUAAAAUCAAUUUUGGUUCCAGUGCUAGAGACGAGAAGGAAGUUGCACUGUGCAUCAAGGACUUGAAUUCGCCUGAAUUCCAUUCAUCCAUGAUUUCUCUUUGGGUCACAGACUCCUUUGAGAGACAAAACACAGAAAGAGGUCUUUUAGCUAAACUUCUUGUUAGCCUCACCAAAUCAAAGGAUGGUACAAUCACUCAACUCCAACUUCUCAAAGGGUAAGUGAUGAGGAGAAUAAAUUACAUAAUUAGUAUAUAUUUGAGCUAAUAUUCGGUUAGUUUUAAAUUUUGAUUGAUUAAUUAGUUAAUUCUCUUAUUUUCUUAUCAUGCUACAAACAGUAACUUUAGUAUUGUUAUAGGAACCUUUUGAAUAUAAACCUUUAUUCCUUAAGGAGGAUUCCCUUCCCUCAAUCCAAGAAAUGAAUUUAUUUGGUUUGAUCGUGAACCUGACCCAAUAUCUUUUCCCCAUCGAAAAUUGGAGCUUUGCUCCCCUAUACCUGAAAGUACUAGUGCUUUCUAAGAAUUCUCUUUUUUUUUUCCUUCCAGAAUCCAGUCCGUUCUUGCCACUCUGGAUGAUGCGGUGAAUGAUGCUCCGAAAGCUCCAGAAUUUAUGG
rnacentral:lncRNA from 1 species